ACUCCUGCGGGAGGCAGCAGUGGGGAAUAUUGGACAAUGGGCGCAAGCCUGAUCCAGCCAUGCCGCGUGAGUGAUGAAGGCCCUAGGGUUGUAAAGCUCUUUCACCGGUGAAGAUAAUGACGGUAACCGGAGAAGAAGCCCCGGCUAACUUCGUGCCAGCAGCCGCGGUAAUACGAAGGGGGCUAGCGUUGUUCGGAUUUACUGGGCGUAAAGCGCACGUAGGCGGACUAUUAAGUCAGGGGUGAAAUCCCGGGGCUCAACCCCGGAACUGCCUUUGAUACUGGUAGUCUUGAGUUCGAGAGAGGUGAGUGGAAUUCCGAGUGUAGAGGUGAAAUUCGUAGAUAUUCGGAGGAACACCAGUGGCGAAGGCGGCUCACUGGCUCGAUACUGACGCUGAGGUGCGAAAGCGUGGGGAGCAAACAGGAUUAGAAACCCGUGUAGUCCC
rnacentral:rRNA from 1 species